rnacentral:rRNA from 1 species
GAUGAACGCUGGCGGCGUGCCUAAUACAUGCAAGUCGAGCGAACAGACGAGGAGCUUGCUCCUCUGACGUUAGCGGCGGACGGGUGAGUAACACGUGGAUAACCUACCUAUAAGACUGGGAUAACUUCGGGAAACCGGAUCUAAUACCGGAUAAUAUAUUGAACCGCAUGGUUCAAUAGUGAAAGACGGUUUUGCUGUCACUUAUAGAUGGAUCCGCGCCGCAUUAGCUAGUUGGUAAGGUAACGGCUUACCAAGGCAACGAUGCGUAGCCGACCUGAGAGCGUGAUCGGCCACACUGGAACUGAGACCCGGUCCAGACUCCUACGGGAGGCAGCAGUAGGGAAUCUUCCGCCAUGGGCGCAAGCCUGACGGAGCAACGCCGCGUGAGUGAUGAAGGUCUUCGGAUCGUAAAACUCUGUUAUUAGGGAAGAACAAAUGUGUAAGUAACUAUGAACGUCUUGACGGUACCUAAUCAGAAAGCCACGGCUAACUACGUG